GUCAGGAUAGCUCAGUGUAGAGUCAGAAGUCGG
rnacentral:tRNA from 1 species